GUGUCAAAGUAAUGGAGGAUUUGGGAAAUAAACUGCGUUCAUGCUGAAUUAGACCUAGUGGGCAUUUAUACAUCACAACACAUGGUACUGUUGCCCUUUCCUUUUUCUAGCCUUAGUGUUGUGAUCUAUAUAUGCCCUUUAGGGCUAAUUCAGCAUGAACAUAGUUUAUUCUCCAUUCCUCAAAUCAUCCAUUACUUUUGACACUUA
rnacentral:miRNA from 1 species